GCCAGGGAACAAGCCAGGAAUUAAGAACUAAAUUCAUAAAUUUAUUACUACCAUUGUUUAGGCAAACCAAAAGCAAAACUUCAUAACAUUUAAUUUAGUUAGUAUCUCACCUGGGAAGCAAAACAACUGGGGCAUCUCAGGGACCACACAGAUCACAUGAUUUGCAAGACUAAUGUUACCGUGGAGUGUAGAUGAGAGGGACAUUUUCACAAAAACAAAAAGUGAGAUGAUGAAUAACAUAGUCACGGACUGAGCUAAUUUGCCAAUAGCCAGCCGUUUUCAAUCUUUUUUUCUCAGGCUCUACUCUGCAGUACAUAGUAUUUAUUGUUCACCCUUUUCGUAUUCGAAUGGAUUUCUUUUGUGUUGGUUUUCUGUUUCAGUGAUGCUCAAUAGCAGGCCAGUAGCCUGGUAAAUUACACCAUGACACAAUGUCAUGCUUUCCACCUGCAGCAGCUUAUAAUACACGUGGGGGGAAAUUAAUAUUUGCAUGUUACAGGAUGAAGCUGGUAAAGCAGGUUUGUGAAUACAGCUGUGGGUUAUGACCCAAGAAAGACGCAUGCAUAACGACUCGUGAAACCGGUCUGUAAUGGACUGUAGUGCUUUUUAAUGCAAAAGGUACAGAGCAUUACCCAUUAGAGGAAUUUUGCUGCACUGAGGCCGCAUUGUAGCGCCCACAGUCUCGUGGGUUACAGUCUUGCUGUGCAAGGUGACCCAUUGCUGAAGUGCAGUUCUGUGUCCGUCUGUCACAGCAGAUCAGUCGCAUUCUCCGGCUGUGCUGCUGCACUGUCUGUAGGUAUCCUGUCAGCUGGAUGAAGCUGACAAAUUCACUCAGCCCGCAGACCAUCACAACUCAAGUGGUGUGGCAGAGUUCAGGCAUGAGUACUGAACCAGCACAGAGCCCACUGCCUCUGGUUCAGCGUCCUACCUGAAGGGUCUGUGUAAAUCUCCCGUGGUCUUACAGUUCAGACCAUUUUUUAAUAUUCUACAUCUACAAACUGGAAACUACUCAUAGUAAUUUUAGACUUGUCUUGACAGCAGACAGUCUCACAGACUAGAGUUGUUGGGAUUAUUUGAAAAAAUUUGAUUUGUCGUCCUUAUAGCUUGACUAAAGUUUUUUUUAGGCUGAUACACAUUGAUAUUUGGGGAGUCCAGCCUUACUGUUUAGAAAAAAGAAACUCGUCAGUGCUUUCAGUUUUCCAUUUCUUGUGUUACAUAUCAGCCAAUAUAUCCGAUAUAUUUGCAAUAGACUAAUAUUGACCAAUGUUUUUUCUAGCUCCUUUUUAAACUUGCCAUGUGCAGAAAAUACAGGUUGAGUUGAUUAGGGGACUGUUUUUUGUGAGCAGUCCUGCUGUCAUUGGCACUUAUUUAACUAUAUAUAUAUAUAUAUAUAUGUAGUUAAAUAAGUUAUUAGUUUUGUUGUUGCACUGAUUUUCCAGGCUGUACAUUGUGUAAACCUCAUAUAUAACAUGGUUAGUUUUUUUUUAUUUAUUUUUUUUAUUACCAGGUUAGAGAUUAACUUUACGUUUUAAAGUUACCAAUGAUUUGCAGAUAAUUUCCUUAGCGCUAGCUGGGGUUCAUACACAGCCUGAGUAGGGCUGUCUUAUAACGUGACUCGGUGUGGAAAGGAACUGUCAGUGAUGACCCAAAAUGAAUGACGAAAUUUAAAUUUUGUGCUCGCUAAAUAGAGAAAAUUACUGUCUGUUAUAAAUGGAGCAGUGAAUAGGCAAACGAGGGACACGGCUGAAUGAUUGUAAGAUCUCAUAUUCAAGCAUUUUUAAAGGCUGAGAAGUGAACUUGACCGUAAGACUUCAACAGUGUGUUUAAUCUCAGUGGAGAAACUUGGUUUAUUAAAUAUAUCCUAGAUGAAUACGGACCAUAACUGAAAAGCACUGUAGUUUGUAACUUUAUCUGAGAAAUGAAAAGAGGAACACAAAUGAUUUCUGUUCCAUUCAUAAUCCACACAGAGCUCAAUGUAUGUUAAUGUCGAUCCAUUUGUUUCUGGCCGUCCUACAGAAAAAGCGAGCAUGUAGCUUGUUUUAGCAAUGUGCAUCCUUGAGGGAUUUGACUGUACAUUUGUUUGUUUCUUCAAAAACAAGCUCUGAUUGUUUUUAGUUAGAGUUAGUUUUAUUUCUGGAGUUCAACGUCUGGACACUCAUCAUUAUGGGAUAUUUUUGGAACAUGCUGAGCCCCCUUUUCCUGCCUCACCUUUGUGUCUAUUCUCCAUGUUGUCUUUGGGUGUGCUGGCCCUGAUUCAACCAACCAAGCAAGCAAGUCAAGUGUUACAAGAGGACUCUACAGCUACUAUAUAUGUGUGGCUGAGCAGGGAAAUUAUUUCAUAUGGCCUAUGUAGCAGACAAUACAAACAAUAACCUGCUCUGUCCUGUGCUGUCAAUGGAAGGGGAAAAAAGCUUUUAGCCUGCCUCUCUGACAUGGGCUCAAUCUGGCUAAGUGUCUCCGUUCUAAGUGUCUCAGUAAUGGCACUGAUUAGACAUUAGGAUACCGGGAUACUGAUCAGACAUCAUUGUAUCAGGGAAAGGCCAAAGCCCUUGAACUGAAUCAGAAUAGCAGCAGGGUCUCUUGGGAGGAAUUAUGCAGACCUUACUUCUGCUCCAGCACUGUUCCCUUGUCAGGAUUUUAAUAGCAGUCUUGCACCCGUGGACUACUUGGAUAAAGAAAAUAGAUAGUCAGGCUGUCUUUGGGUUUGAUCAGUUAAAGAGGUACAGCAUCACAGAUCUGAGUCAUGGCAGCUGAAUAGACAGCUUAGGCCUAAACAAUAAACCAAGCACAAGAUCACUAGGCAGCAGCAAAAGAGGGAUUCUGCCUCUAUUCAGCAUGCUCUGCAAAUCUUCUCUGCAUUUGCUCCUAGUCACUCUGCAUAUGGGGGGAGGGGUGGGCUGGCUUCUACCCAAAUGCAUGCUGGGAUUGUGUUCUUCUUUAUUUUAAGCCUUCCCUGUAGACAUGUCCUGUUUUUUUGUUUUUUUUAACUUCCCCACUUUCCCUGUGCUUUUUGUGUCCCGCCGUCUACAGUCUGUUUGCGCGUAUGUGCUUGAAUGUUUUGUAAUGCUGUUUCUCUUUGUACUUUGUGCUCAUCAUAAGUAUUAUUUCAAACUGUAGAGAAGAAUAUUCAUGUCUCUCUUGCUUGUAA